GAUCUUCAAACCAUGAACAGUGAGAUCAGACCUGAGCUGAAGUAAGAUGCAUAACUGACUGAACCUUUCAGGAGUCCCUAAAUGAAGAUGGAAAUUACUGGCCUAGGGGAGAUGGAAACCAACCAUAAGAUUAUGGCCAUCCUUAUCAAAUUCAGUAUCCAGUAAUGUCGAAGGAUGACUUGGAGGGCUUUCCUGCCCCAGAAUGCAGAAAUACUCGAAUGGUAUGAAUGCUCUAUGACUGUAAAAGAAGCUGGGCUCCUAGUAUCUCAGUCUCCACCAGCAUCAUCAGUGAUUUUCAGUUUAUGCCUACAUUCAUGGAAGUGCUUUUGGUUUUCCAUUGAUCAUGCUAGGAGAUGAAUGG